GGCCUCCCAGUACUUACCACAGGCUGUGUUCUUGCACUGCCUGUACAGAAAAAGGAGGCAGAGUGAACACAUGCCCUCCCUGCUGCCCCCAAAAAACAGAAAAAGAAAGAAAAAAAACCCUAUAUGUCCAGACAUAU